CACGAACGCUGGCGGCAGGCUUAACACAUGCAAGUCGAGCGCCCCGCAAGGGGAGCGGCAGACGGGUGAGUAACGCGUGGGAAUCUACCCAUCUCUACGGAGUAACGCAUGGAAACGUUUGCUAAUACCGUAUACGGCCUUCGGGAGAAAGAUUUAUCGGAGAUGGAUGAUCCCGCGUUGGAUUAGCUAGUUGGUGGGGUAAAGGCCUACCAAGGCGACGAUCCAUAGCUGGUCUGAGAGGAUGAGCAGCCACACUGGGACUGAGACACGGCCCAGACUCCUACGAGAGGCAGCAGUGGGGAAUAUUGGACAAUGGGCGCAAGCCUGAUCCAGCCAUGCCGCGUGGGUGAUGAAGGCCCUAGGGUUGUAAAGCUCUUUCACCGGUGAAGAUAAUGACGGUAACCGGAGAAGAAGCCCCGGCUAACUUCGUGCCAGCAGCCGCCGUAACAC
rnacentral:rRNA from 1 species